GAUUAAAAGUGAGGCAGUGGGAUUAAUAUCAGUGUAAUAUCUCGGGGUUAAUAACUAAAAGUGUUUGAUCUCAUAAGUAUUG